rnacentral:rRNA from 1 species
AUGGCCUCCGCCGUCUCCCUCGCCGCCUCCUCCUCGCCCCUCGCCGCCACCUCGCCCUCGCGCGCGCCGCGCCCCCACCAGGCGCUCCCGCCCGCCCGCGGCCCGCGGUCCCAGGCCCAGGCCCUCCGCGCGGUCUCCGGCCCCGCCGGGAGCCGCCGGUGGGGCGUCGGCCGCGGCGCGACGGUCGUCUGCGCCGUCCAGGGCCAGGACACCACCAUCCAAGUUCCCGAUGUCACGAAGACAACAUGGCAAUCACUUGUUAUAGAGAGCGAGGUUCCUGUUCUUGUUGAAUUCUGGGCUUCAUGGUGUGGACCUUGCAAAAUGAUUGAUCCAGUUAUUGGUAAGCUGUCAAAGGAGUAUGAAGGGAAGCUGAAAUGCUACAAGCUCAACACCGAUGAGAAUCCAGACAUAGCAAGCCAGUAUGGCGUCCGGAGCAUCCCAACCAUGAUGAUCUUCAAGAACGGCGAGAAAAAAGACGCGGUGAUAGGAGCAGUGCCUGAAAGCACGCUGAUCACAUGCAUCGAGAAGUUUACCGAGAGGGGGCGAUAG